AUGGAACCCUGGACCCACUGUGCUCCCGGAGCCUUACCUUUUUUCUUUCUUUCUUUCUCUCUUUCUUUUUAAAUUUAUGAACUCGAAAUGAAGCGGAAAGCAGAUACACGCGUCAGCAUACUUUGGCGGAUUUGAUCAACACAUCUUUUUGGGCUUCACCAAAUCGCUGAAAAACCUGCUACCAUGUCACAGGAGAGACAUAUGAUAUUCCUCCAGAGACGGCUCUCCUUUGGAAAGCACUCUUUGGGAAUGUAGUUCCUAAAUCAGCUGUCAUAUUGAACACCCGGUCAAGACAUAUUUUAUUCUCAGAGCAUUAUUUUGAAACUUCAGUCAUCCAGCAAGUGCUGCAAAUGUGCCACUGGUCCUUGAAGGACAUACCAGGAGGAGCAAUGAGAGGAGACAAGGUGCCCAGGGCCAUGAACACAUCACUUGGUCGGCACCAACAGAGUUCCAGCCACAGAUAAAGAAUCUUCAUUGCCAACUUUGACCUGAGAGCAAUGAACGGGUCAACUAAGCAGCAUGUGUUCAUUACUAACAUGGCACCAUCUUGGAAGCCAAAAGCUAAAAAAAAAAAAAUGGCACGAAUGUUGUUGCAAUUCCAAAUCCUACUUAGGUUCUAUCAACUACCUGGACUGUUUAAUUCCACUCAGAAACCUUUAUUGAACUCCUGCUAUAUAUUUAGGAGGGUCCUGAGCACUUGAGAAUAUAUGAAUAUGUGGGUAUAUGGGAAAGGAAAGGCAUUAGGAACAUGGGAGGGGGCGACCAGAACCCUGGCUGCCUGGCUGUGUAGAUGCAUGAGUGAGAAGUUCAGGCUCCCUCCCAAGCAGACACAUCUGCUUUAAAGGCUAGUGCUGCUGUUUACUGGCGGCGUUUCCUCCGUCAAGUUAAUGAACUUCUCUGAGCCUCAUUCUAGCCAUUAUAGCUAUCUUAAACAAUAUUCACAUUCUGGUUAAAUGUCGACAAUAAGUAGAAGCCUAACUAACAAGACUGAGAACAAAAUGAGAAGCAUGAAAACAGUCUGACUUAGGAGAGUGCCUAACACAUAGUAAGUGGUCAAGACAGCAACCUAGGAAAGCCCAGCAACUAAAUUUAACGUGGACAAAAAAUCGGGCAUUCGCAGGGCGAGUGACAAAAUCUGAAGAGUGACUGUACAGUCAUUAAAAUUGCUGUAGCGAUGCUUAUUUCCUGAUUUUGAUAACUGCACUGUGGUUAUGUAUUAUUUCAGGAGGCUGCGUGGAGCAUACAUGAGAAUGCUUUAUAUAAUGUUUGCAACCCUUUUGUAAAUGUGUACCUAUUUCAAAAUGGAGUUAAAGAGAUGCAAACAUCAACUCCUCUAAUGCAAGUGUCUAUUCCAGCCCAUAAAAGCUUAACUCCUGAAUGGGGAGACAGCAGGUGUGAACAUGAGACCUUCCCAGAACAACUAGAAGAGAAGGUUCUGUGGUGCCAGUGCUCGCAUGGGUCAGAAAGACUGGAGCGAGUAGGAGCUGAGGGAGAUACAGAUCUUCUAGAGCUCCCUUGCUCAAUGCCUCGAUUCCUCUCAAGUUCAUGGUCAGCCUUCCCUUGGACAGAAUGAUUGCCCAAGACCCUUUUGACUUGAUGGAGACAACAGUGCAAUUCCCCAGACUAUUCUUGGGGAGGGUGAGGCAUGACACUCCCAGUACAAGAGGCUGAGAGAAAUGCUCCAGAGUGGGCUGCAGAGCAGCAAAGAUGGUGAUGGGUCAGGGCAGAGGAGGGAGACACAGCCACUCACAGGGGUCAGAGGAGCUAGGAACACAAACAUGGAGCUCUGAGACCUGCAGAAGGGACACCACAGCCGGGAGUCCAAGGAGAGCACAUGCACCUACUCCUUGGGGAGGCUGUCAUACCUCCAGCAUACCAGCUGCCAUGACACCUUCUGGUAAGGACGGACGGUCACAGGGCUCACACACGGUGGCCAGGCUCGGCAUUCCCUUGGCUUUUCUUGCCACUGAGGGCACUGGGCAGAGCAGCCCUGCCACAGUGUGAUGUGGAAGGUCAGUGGAUUCUCUGUGGCCAUCUCCACUUUGGUCAGAGAGUGCUGGGGAGUGAAGAGGGUGGAGUCCAGCCUUCUCUGGAGAGGUCCCUUGUGGACUGUUUUUCAUGACCUCCUCCUGCGUCACCCGAACUCUCACCUCAUGGUCCAGGAAGGUUCCUGCUUUGCACCUUCAACUCCCGUCUCCCUCCAUCACAUUCCAGUGGUACCAAGGAGUUACCACUGGAAUUUUCUUUGGAACUGAAAAUUUCUGUGGACAAAAGUCCAGCAGCUUCUGUUCAGAACAUGUAUAAAUAGUUUUUCCUUCUUCAUUCCCCUCAUGGAUAUUUUGUGCUUGGAUCACGCAGGGUCGGUGGGGGAGAAUCGAGUUUUACUAGGACUUACGAUGAGUGAAUAUUGGCAGCUGCAAAACUUCAUCACAUUAAAAAAAAAAAA
ensembl:lncRNA